ensembl:misc_RNA 7SK 7SK RNA
AAACGUGCAAUCAGUUGCCUUCAGGACUGGUGGCUCUCUUGAUCGCCAGGGUUGAUUCGGCUGAUCUGGCUGGCUAGGUGGGUGUCCCCUUCCUCCCUCACCGCUCCAUGUGCAUCCCUCCCGAAGCUGCGCGUUCGGUCGAAGAGGAAGACCUUCCCCGAUAGAGGAGGACCGUUCUUCGGUCAAGGGUGUACGAGUAGCUGCGCUCCCCUGCUAGAACCUCCAAACGAGCUCUCAGGACUGGUGGCUCUCAGAGCCUGGAGGGUCCCCGGUGUCU